rnacentral:misc_RNA from 1 species
GAUGAAGAACGUAGUGAAAUGCGAUAAGUAGUGUGAAUUGCAGAAUUCAGUGAAUCAUCGAAUCUUUGAACGCACAUUGCGCCCCUUGGUAUUCCAUGGGGCAUGCCUGUUCGAGCGUCAUUUGUACCUUCAAGCUUUGCUUGGUGUUGGGUGUUUGUCCAUUUUCUUGCAGAGGGACUCGCCUUAAAGUAAUUGGCAGCCAGUGUUUUGGUUUUGAAGCGCAGCACAAGUCGCGAUUCAAAGCUAUACGCCCGCUUCCACAAGCCUUUUUCACUUUUGACCUCGGAUCAGGUAGGGAUACCCGCUGAACUUAAGCAUAUCAAUAAGCGGAGGA